UUUUAGAAGUCCUAACGGUGAAUCGAGGUCGCUCUCUCCCAACGAUGGAUCUGCUACAGUCAGAGAGCCCAUGCAAAUAGUUCGAUUGCUCAUUCCAAUCGAAUCAGCUUAUCGAUCCAUCUCUUACCUCGGCGAUCUCAGCCUUUUCCAAUUCAAAGACGCUGCGGUUGUUUAAGGAACAAAUGGCGAAAGCAGGUGUAUCACCCUCAACAUGGCCGGCAGGUGAGGAUAAUGUUGAUCUGAAAAGUUUGGAGGUCGUUUUAUGCUCUGAAAAUUGUCACCGG
rnacentral:sRNA from 1 species